UCCGUAGGUGAACCUGCGGAGGGAUCAUUACUGAGUUUACGCUCUACAACCCUUUGUGAACAUACCUAUAACUGUUGCUUCGGCGGGUAGGGUCUCCGUGACCCUCCCGGCCUCCCGCCCCCGGGCGGGUCGGCGCCCGCCGGAGGAUAACCAAACUCUGAUUUAACGACGUUUCUUCUGAGUGGUACAAGCAAAUAAUCAAAACUUUUAACAACGGAUCUCUUGGUUCUGGCAUCGAUGAAGAACGCAGCGAAAUGCGAUAAGUAAUGUGAAUUGCAGAAUUCAGUGAAUCAUCGAAUCUUUGAACGCACAUUGCGCCCGCCAGCAUUCUGGCGGGCAUGCCUGUUCGAGCGUCAUUUCAACCCUCAAGCUCUGCUUGGUGUUGGGGCCCUACAGCUGAUGUAGGCCCUCAAAGGUAGUGGCGGACCCUCCCGGAGCCUCCUUUGCGUAGUAACUUUACGUCUCGCACUGGGAUCCGGAGGGACUCUUGCCGUAAAACCCCCAAUUUUCCAAAGGUUGACCUCGGAUCAGGUAGGAAUACCCGCUGAACUUAAGCAUAUCAAUAAGCGGAGGA
rnacentral:rRNA from 2 species